UACGAAGGGGGCUAGCGUUGCUCGGAAUUACUGGGCGUAAAGCGCACGUAGGCGGCUUCUUAAGUCGGUGGUGAAAUCCUGGAGCUCAACUCCAGAACUGCCUUUGAUACUGGCGAUCUCGAGUCCGGGAGAGGUGAGUGGAACUACGAGUGUAGAGGUGAAAUUCGUAGAUAUUCGCAAGAACACCAGUGGCGAAGGCGGCUCACUGGCCCGGUACUGACGCUGAGGUGCGAAAGCGUGGGGAGCAAACAGG
rnacentral:rRNA from 1 species